UGUGUCUGUCUGUCUGUCUGUCUGUCUGUCUGUCUGUCUGUCUGUCUGUCUGUCUGUCUGUCUGUCUGUCUGUGUGUUCCAGAGGAGCAGCUGGAGAUGGAGGGCAGCCCUGGAGAGGGAUCCAGUCCAGGAGAAGACCGAGGACAUGGGCGAGUGGGCCCCAUGCAGCUUAAGGGACCCCCUUCUCCAGUGCCGAGCUGUGUGUCCAUGAAGAGUGACAAGUCCAUGGAGCAGCCUCUUCACUUUGGAGCAGGAGAUGUUCCUGCUGGUCAGAGCCCCAUGCAGCUUAAGGGACCCCCUUCUCCAGUGCCGAGCUGUG